CUAUAUCUUGCAAUAUAUAUUUCUAAUGAACAUGUUUCCUUUUCCAGAUUAAAGACCUCAUAUCAUACUACAAAUAACAUAUAAUUAACAGACCUAACUAUUAACAUACACGGAUCUACAGGCUCUGACAUUCGACUGUCAGACCUAUUUUUCCAAAAUUUUCGAAUUGCUUAAAACACUAAUUUGAUGCAUCUAGAUGUUAUGAAAACGUGUUCUAUCAACUUAGUAUACUUUCUACCAUGUUAUUAC
rnacentral:lncRNA from 1 species